rnacentral:rRNA from 1 species
UACAGAGGUCCCAAGCGUUGUUCGGAAUUACUGGGCGUAAAGGGCGCGUAGGCGGUCAGACCAAGUCGAAUGUGAAAUUCCAGAGCUUAACUCUGGACGGUCGUUCGAUACUGGUCGGCUAGAGUGUGGAAGAGGAUGUCGGAAUUCCCGGUGUAGCGGUGAAAUGCGUAGAUAUCGGGGAGGAACACCAGCGGCGAAGGCGGGCAUCUGGGCUAACACUGACGCUGAGGCGCGAAAGCUAGGGGAGCAAACAGG